rnacentral:lncRNA from 1 species
AUGUAUGGUUACUGGCGCCAAAGAAGCCUUAGUGAUUCCUGGACAGAAUCGCAGAAUGACAAUGAAGGAGAGAGCAGCUUGGCUACCACGCAAAUGAAUCCACCCAAACGUCACCAAGUGGAGCAGGGUACCAGUAUAGGUGCAAAAACACCCUCAAUUCCAGGAGCUCCACACUGAAUUCAGGCCAGUCCCUGGAACCUCCCCAGCAGCAGGAUUCCAGCAAUGAGGAGCUCAUCAUAGUCCUAGAACAAGGGACAGAAGUGAGGUUGAGCCUGGAAGAGGUCAUCCUCAUCUUGGCCCCAGAGACAGCGCUGCAGCUGACCGUGGAGAACACAGUCCUUGUGAUUGUUCCUGGCAUAUCCUGAGGUCACAAGAUGGCCUGCAGUCCCCUGUGCAGAUCCAGUACAUCAUGCCUUCCAUUGAUGACUUCAGCUUGGAGUGCCAUGCUCAAGAUGGAGACAUCUCAGACAUGAAAGGAGAGAAUGUGCCUCUUUCACCUGCAGAAGAAGGGGAGGCAGCACCCCUAUAUCACCAGCCCUUGAUGAUAUCCCCAGCAAACCACAAAGCUGGGAUCAGCCCUUUUCUUCUAGUAACCCCAUUGUGCAUUCCAUGCUGUCUGGCAGCCUUCCCCCAACGCUACCCUCUACCACCCACAUCUAGUCCCAUGGGACGCCCUAGACCAGCCAACUCCAGUUUCAGCCUGCAUGGUAUGGAGCUACUGUGCACCUCCUCCCUCAGCCGUAUGCCCCCUUCACCAACUCCUGGUCCCCAGAUCUAUCACAGGGUUCACCAUAGGCCUCCCAGCAGGGCACAGAGAUGUCUCUUUAGGAAGUGA